UUUCAUUUUUCCGUGUCCAACGUUUGACCAUUCGUCUUAUUUAAAAAAAUUCUAUAAAAAUUUAAAAAAAUUAGUCACGUAUAAAGUACUAUUCAUAUUUUAUCAUCUCGUAAUAAUAAAAAUAUUAAUAAAAAAUUUCAAAUAAGACGAAUGGUCAAACGUUGGGAAAAAAAAU
rnacentral:pre_miRNA from 1 species